GCCUCCUCCUUAGCUCAGUGGCAGAGCACUGGCUCUGUAAACCAGGGGUCGUGAGUUCAAACCUCACAGGGGGCA